GACGAACGCUGGCGGCGUGCUUAACACAUGCAAGUCGAACGGUGAAGCGCCUUCCUUUUUGGUGGGUGUGGAUGAGUGGCGAACGGGUGAGUAACACGUGAGUAACCUGCCCACUUCUUCUGGAUAACCGCAUGAAAGUGUGGCUAAUACGGGAUAUUCUGGGUCUGUCGCAUGAUGGGUCUGGGAAAGAUAUUGUUUCGGUGGGGGAUGGGCUCGCGGCCUAUCAGCUUGUGUGUGGGGUGAUGGCAUACCAAGGCGGUGACGGGUAGCCGGCCUGAGAGGGUGGACGGUCACACUGGGACUGAGACACGGCUCAGACUCCUACGGGAGGCAGCAGUGGGGAAUAGUGCACAAUGGGCGAAAGCCUGAUGCAGCGACGCCGCGUGAGGGAUGGAGGCCUUCGGGUUGUGAACCUCUUUCGCCAGUGAAGCAGGCCUGCCUCGUUUGUGGGUGGGUUGACGGUAGCUGGAUAAGAAGCGCCGGCUAACUACGUG
rnacentral:rRNA from 1 species